rnacentral:rRNA from 1 species
UACGGAGGGUGCAAGCGUUAUCCGGAAUCACUGGGUUUAAAGGGUACGUAGGCGGCCUGUUAAGUCGGAAGUGAAACGCCGCAGCUCAACUGCGGAACUGCUUUCGAUACUGGCGGGCUUGGAUAUGGUGGAGGCAGGCGGAAUGCGUCAUGUAGCGGUGAAAUGCAUAGAUAUGACGUAGAACACCGAUAGCGAAGGCAGCUUGCCAUACCAUUAUCGACGCUGAGGUACGAAAGCGUGGGUAGCAAACAGG